GAUGAAGAACGUAGCGAAAUGCGAUAAGUAAUGUGAAUUGCAGAAUUCAGUGAAUCAUCGAAUCUUUGAACGCACAUUGCGCCCCUUGGUAUUCCUGGGGGCAUGCCUGUUCGAGCGUCAUUAUAACCCCUCAAGCUCAGCUUGGUGUUGGGGCCUGCCGACUGGCAGCCCUUAAAAUCAGUGGCGGCGCCAUCUGGCUCUAAGCGUAGUAAUUUCUCUCGCUAUAGAGUCCCGGUGGAUGCUUGCCAGCAACCCCCAACUUUCUAUGGUUGACCUCGGAUCAGGUAGGGAUACCCGCUGAACUUAAGCAUAUCAAUAAGCGGAGGA
rnacentral:misc_RNA from 1 species